GACGAACGCUGGCGGCGCGCUUAACACAUGCCAGUCGAACGGAAAGGCCUGCUUUCCCUUGUGGAUUGCGGGUACUCGAGUGGCGAACGGGUGAGUAACACGUGAGUGAUCUGCCCCCAACUUGGGUAUAAGCCUGGGAAACUGGGUCUAAUUCCCGAUAGGACUGCAGGGUGGUGCCUGUGGUGGAAAACGAUUUUCUAGUGGUUGGGGAUGAGCUCGCGGCCUAUCAGCUUGUUGGUGGGGUAAUGGCCUACCAAGGCGGCGACGGGUAGCCGGCCUGAGAGGGUGGACGGCCACAUUGGGACUGAGAUACGGCCCAGACUCCUACGGGAGGCAGCAGUGGGGAUUAUUGCACAAUGGGCGGAAGCCUGAUGCAGCGACGCCGCGUGGGGGAUGACGGCCUUCGGGUGGUAAACUCCUUUCGACCGCGAGGAAGCCACCUGGUUGGAAGGGUGGUGACGGUAGUGGUAGAAGAAGCACCGGCUAACUACGUG
rnacentral:rRNA from 1 species